UGGGGAGCUAGUUACUGGUAGAAAGGCCCCAAGGCCGGGCUUCGGUGGCUGCAGUAGACUGGAUCUGGAUCUCUAAAUGGCAAUCUAUUGACAUGGCUGCCAGCGGACCCAGGGUGCUAUUGCUGCAGCUGGCGAGGAUGAUCACAGCACUGUCCAGACAUCUCCAAUGAGUAAGGCACCUGUCCGAUGGUGCUGCAAUGCUCAUUCUAUUUCCAGCAAGUUAUUAGAAAAAUGUGACGGAGUUUCGUUCUUGUCACCCAGGCUGGAGUCAGUGUCGCGAUCUCCACCCACUGCAACCUCCACCUCCCAGGUUCAAGCAAUUCUCCUGCCUCAGCCUCCCGAGUAGCUGGGAUUAUAGGCAUGCACCACCACGCCUGGCUAAUUUUUGUAUUUUUAGUAGAGAUGGGUUUUCACCAUGUUGGCCAGGCUGGUCUCGAACUCCUGACCUCUGGUGAUCCACCCGCUUUGGCCUCCCAAAGUGCUGGGAUUAGACGCGUGAGCCACUGCACCCGGCCUGUUUUAGGAAUAUCUUAACUGAUCUAUUUCAUGUCUUCAAAAUGCAUGCACAGAGGUGAUACAUGAUAAAAUCUAUCCCCAGUCAGGUCUAGAAAAGCUCUUUUAAUGAGCAUAAAGUGAUUGUCUAUGCAGUAAGAAAGCAUGGUGUCCUUGUUGAGUUAGUAGUGGUUUUUCUCUUAGUGGUAUAUAAAACGUGGCAGCGUGUCACAACCCACAGUGUCUUAGAUUUUCUGAAAUAUGGUGGUCCAUUAGGCAGUGAUAAGUGGCUCAGAUAAAUUUAAGGUAAACUUGGAAGCAACCAGCUGGACAAAUUGAUUUGCAUGGUGGGAUGUGGAACUCAGCUGGUUCACUGCAGAACCAGGAGCAGCUGUGUUUUCAUCCUGGCUCUCCUGUGAAGUUCCUGGGUGAUUCUGGGGAAAUCCUUUAAUUUCUCCCAGUCUUAGCUUCCUCAUCGGCCAAAUGAUGCAAUCCUGCUUAUUUGGUAGGGGGUGAAAUUGAUGGUCAGGUGAUUUAUGGGUAACAAAGGUUACCUAAGAUCAUCCUGAGGGUCUGUGCUUGGUGCUGGGAGUAUAGCACUGAAGAAGGCAGAGAUGGUACCACUCCUUCAGGGGAUAACAUUUGAUGACAUACCGAUCCAGUUUCUCUCGUAUCCAGGGGACAUUUUCUGGUUCUUUCUGCUUUCUCUGCCCAACUAAUAAAAAGUAGUGUGCAAUGUGUCAGGAAGUGUGUGAGCAUUUUUCAUCACUCAUUUAAGCCAUGUUUGAAAGAAAUAAGUGGACACAAUUAAAUUGAUUUUUAAGACCUGAGAAUUGUUUGAUUCAUUUAACAUUUGUAUUGGGCCUUGGCAAAACUGUAAAACAAAAAGAAGUUGACCUUCAGAAGGCCAAAUAUCAUUUUGGAUAAAUUUCCUCUUAGUGUUGUGGAUAUAACCUUUUAAGGAACUAGUGCCUCUAAUUCCUUCACCCCGUCCUUUUCCUACUCUCCCUCCAUCUACAUAUUUGUGUUUUCUUUUUCUUUUUCUUUUCUUUUCUUUUUUUUUUUUGAGAUAGAGUCUUGUUCUGUUGCCUGGGUUGGAGUGCAAUGAUGCCAUCUUGGCUCACUGCAACCUCUGCCUCCCAUGUUCAAGCGAUUCUGUUGCCUCAGCUU
rnacentral:lncRNA from 10 species